rnacentral:rRNA from 1 species
ACACGGACCAAGGAGUCUAACAUGUGUGCGAGCCAUUGGGCGGACUAAACCCAAGGGCGCAGUGAAAGCGAAGGGCACGUUGGUGCCUGAGGGGCGAUCCCUUGCGGGCGCAGCCCCGGCGCUUUGCCUCGACCUCGCAUCGUGCAGAGCAGCAAGAGCAUACACGUUGGGACCCGAAAGAUGGUGAACUAUGCCUGGCCAGGUUGAAGUCAGGGGAAACCCUGAUGGAGGACCGUAGCGAUUCUGACGUGCAAAUCGAUCGUCGGAGCUGGGUAUAGGGGCGAAAGACUAAUCGAACCAUCUAGUAGCUGGUUCCUUCCGAAGUUUCCCUCAGGAUAGCUGGCGCUCAUUGAACGAGUUUCAUCCGGUAAAGCGAAUGAUUAGAAGUCUUGGGGACGAAACGUCCUCAACUUAUUCUCAAACUUUAAAUGGGUGAGAAGCGGGGCUUGCUUGAGUGAAGCCCCGCAGCGAAUCGGAGUGCCUAGUGGGCCAUUUUUGGUAAGCAG